GACGAACGCUGGCGGCGUGCCUAAUACAUGCAAGUCGAGCGCAGGAAAUCAUCCGAACCCUUCGGGGGGACGUUGAUGGAAUGAGCGGCGGACGGGUGAGUAACACGUAAAGAACCUGCCCUCAGGUCUGGGAUAACCACGAGAAAUCGGGGCUAAUACCGGAUGGGUCAUCGGACCGCAUGGUCCGAGGAUGAAAGGCGCUUCGGCGUCGCCUGGGGAUGGCUUUGCGGUGCAUUAGCUAGUUGGUGGGGUAAUGGCCCACCAAGGCGACGAUGCAUAGCCGACCUGAGAGGGGGAUCGGCCACACUGGGACUGAGACACGGCCCAGACUCCUACGGGAGGCAGCAGUAGGGAAUCUUCCACAAUGGACGAAAGUCUGAUGGAGCAACGCCGCGUGAACGAUGAAGGCCUUCGGGUCGUAAAGUUCUGUUGUAAGGGAAGAACAAGUGCCGCAGGCAAUGGCGGCACCUUGACGGUACCUUGCGAGAAAGCCACGGCUAACUACGUGCCAGCCGCCGCAGUAA
rnacentral:rRNA from 1 species